GAUGAACGCUGGCGGCGUGCUUAACACAUGCAAGUCGAACGGUGAAGCAGAGCUUGCUCUGUGGAUCAGUGGCGAACGGGUGAGUAACACGUGAGCAACCUGCCCUGGACUCUGGGAUAAGCGCUGGAAACGGCGUCUAAUACUGGAUACGAGACGUGGCCGCAUGGUCAACGUUUGGAAAGAUUUUUUGGUUCAGGAUGGGCUCGCGGCCUAUCAGCUUGUUGGUGAGGUAAUGGCUGACCAAGGCGUCGACGGGUAGCCGGCCUGAGAGGGUGACCGGCCACACUGGGACUGAGACACGGCCCAGACUCCUACGGGAGGCAGCAGUGGGGAAUAUUGCACAAUGGGCGAAAGCCUGAUGCAGCAACGCCGCGUGAGGGAUGACGGCCUUCGGGUUGUAAACCUCUUUUAGCAAGGAAGAAGCGAAAGUGACGGUACUUGCAGAAAAAGCGCCGGCUAACUACGUGCCAGCCGCCGCAGUAACAC
rnacentral:rRNA from 1 species